ensembl:snRNA U6 spliceosomal RNA
GUGCUCGCUUCGGCAGCGCACACCCUAAACUUGGAACGAUACAGAGAUUAGCAUGCCCCCCACCCCCCGCGCAAGGAUGACAUGCAAAUUUGUUCCAUAUUUUA